UGGGUCUCCCUAUUGUGAUCAGUUCACUUAGGUUCAUUUCUACUUUGAGCCUCUGGGGGAAGGGGCGUGGCCCCCUGUGUGACAGGUUGGCUCUGGGGCCAGGCAGGGACAGUGACAUCUCAGAAGGACUCCCUGGAGAGCCCCUCUCCCCUCUCAUCCACACUCAGACCAGAGGGCCCUACGCCUGCCCCGCCCCCGCCAUGAGCCCCUGCCUCCUGGGCUGUGUGGUCUUCUGUCUCCUGCAGGCAGGGGCGGUCCACGCUGGUGUCACCCAGGACCCCAGAUUCCAGGUCGUGACAACAGGACAGAGCGCCACACUGAAAUGUACUCAGGAUCUGGGUCAUGACCGCAUGUACUGGUACCGACAAGACCCGGGACUGGCGCUGAGGCUGAUCCAUUACUCAGCUGGGACUCCAUACACGGAGAAAGGAGAUGUGCCUGACGGGUACAGCGUCUCCAGACCAAGCACAGAGAACUUCCCUCUCACGCUGAAGUCUGCCAACCGCUCCCAGACAUCUGUGUACUUCUGCGCCAGCAGUGACUCCACGGCGCUGCACAGCCACCUCCUCUCUGUGCAAAAAGACAGAAGAGGGCCUUGCAGCUGGAACGUGGGGAGCCCCUUGCAGACUCCUAGCACCUGGAGACUCAGAGCCCACAGACACAUACUGGCAGCAUAGCCUGCAGUUUUGAUCUUGGCUGGCACAGACCUGACAACAGGGCCUCAUGGACAUGUGUCCACUUUCAUGCUCUGUCUUUUCAGCGUAGCUGCCAGGUGAACCUAACAUGCUUCCAGCUCUGACUCCUAGUAUCAGUCUGAACAGGAGGCCUCCAGGAGGGAAGGGUGUUGGGAAAUCAGAUACAUCUAGACCCUCUUGUCUCUCCCCGGGCACCACAUGCCUGUCGCUGUGGAAGGUCCUCCCCCAGGCUGGCCCUUGUCUGGUCUCUGCUCUUGUCCAGCUUCCGCAGAUGUGGGGUCUUUCCUCUCUCACCUAAGGGCCCUCGUUCUGACCCUUCUCUACUUCAGCCUAGCUGCCCCUCCCUCAUCUGGGUCAUGUUCUUGCCCGUCACCCAGGGAACCUCGUAAUGAUCCUGACGUGGUCCUGUUUGAGCAGGCUCCCUCGGCCCUCAGAGAGAACACCCCUACAGUCAGUGAUGAGUCACCCGUGAUCCCUCUGUGGCCCCUCAGCAGAGGGAGGGAUGAGCAGUGAGUGUGUCUCCACCACGGCCUGUCUGUAGCAUCGACAUAGCCUGGACCCUGAUGCUGGGAAAGACUGAGAGCAGAAGGAGAAGGGGGUGGCAGAGAAAGAGGUGGUUAGAGAGCAUCACCGACUCAACAGGCAUGAAUUUGAGCAAACUCUGGAGACAGUGAAGAACAGGGGAGCUUGGUGCGCUGUGAUGCAAGGGGUCUCAAAGAGAUGGACUCGAGUUAGCAAUUAAACACCACCACAACCAAUAAAAACUAACCCAAGUUUGCAGCAAUUCCCUCAUCACAAUCUUCUAAAAGUCAAAGUAUUAAAUAUUUCCUGCAUGAACACAUUUCUUUUCUCGUGAAAUAAAAAUCAUAAAUCAGCUAAGGCAGGCUUGUUUGUGAGAUUGUGUUUCUAA